rnacentral:rRNA from 1 species
UACGGGGGGGGCAAGCGUUGUUCGGAUUUACUGGGCGUAAAGGGCGCGUAGGCGGCCACCGCAAGUCGGUUGUGAAAUCUCUGGGCUUAACCCAGAAAGGUCAACCGAUACUGCGGGGCUAGAGUGCAGAAGGGGCAACUGGAAUUCUCGGUGUAGCGGUGAAAUGCGUAGAGAUCCGGAAGAACACCGACGGCGAAGGCAGCGCCCUGGACGCCAUCUGACGCUCGGGCACGAAAGCGCGGGGAGCGAACAGG